rnacentral:piRNA from 1 species
UACUUUCAGAAUUGGAGUGCAGAACA